GUGCCAGCCGCCGCGGUAAUACCGGCAGCUCAAGUGAUGUCCCAUAUUAUUGGGCCUAAAGCGUCCGUAGCUGGCUGCGCAAGUCCGUCGGGAAAUCCACUCGCCCAACGAGUGGGCGUCCGGUGGAAACUCCACACCUUGGGACCGGAAGGCUCGAAGGGUACGGCCGGGGUAGGAGUGAAAUCCUGUAAUCCCGUCCGGACCACCGAUGGCGAAAGCACUUCGAGAAAACGGAUCCGACAGUGAGGGACGAAAGCUAAGAUCGCGAACCGGAUUAGAAACCCUGGUAGUCC
rnacentral:rRNA from 1 species